UACGGAGGGUGCGAGCGUUGUCCGGAAUCAUUGGGCGUAAAGGGUGCGUAGGCGGCCGCGCAAGUCUGGCGUGAAAGCCCCGGGCUCAGCCCGGGAAGGGCGCUCGAAACGGCGCGGCUCGAGUGCCGGAGGGGAGAGUGGAAUUCCUGGUGUAGCGGUGAAAUGCGUAGAUAUCAGGAGGAAUACCGGUGGCGAAAGCGACUCUCUGGACGGCAACUGACGCUGAGGCACGAAAGCGUGGGGAGCAAACAGG
rnacentral:rRNA from 1 species